UACGUAGGGUGCGAGCGUUAAUCGGAAUUACUGGGCGUAAAGCGUGCGCAGGCGGUUUUGUAAGCCAGAUGUGAAAUCCCCGGGCUUAACCUGGGAAUGGCAUUUGGGACUGCAAGGCUGGAGUGCGGCAGAGGAGACUGGAAUUCCCGGUGUAGCGGUGAAAUGCGCAGAUAUCGGGAGGAACACCAGUGGCGAAGGCGGCCCGCUGGGCAGUGGCUGACGCUGAAGCGCGACAGCGUGGGGAGCAAACAGG
rnacentral:rRNA from 1 species